rnacentral:lncRNA from 1 species
CUUUUAUGCUCUGCUAGCUGGUGUGAGCGGGGAGCAGAAAGAGAGUCUCUCCCUCUGUGAGCCAGAGAGUUACCACUACUUGAAUCAGUCUGGCUGUGUGACUGAUGAGAACCUGAACGAUGUCGAGAUGUUCAGUAAGGUCAUGACUGCCAUGAAGGUGGUGGACUUCAGCACUGAAGAAAUCAGAGACAUCUUCAAACUUCUUUCUGGCACACUUCAUCUGGGAAACGUUGAAUUCAUGACAGCUGGUGGGGCCCAGGUUACAACCAAA